GAAAACAAAUCAAGGGCAUACUAUUAAACUAAUGCAUAUUGCACUGCAAAUUCCGUGGAACAUAAACCAGCAAUGAAACGCCUUCAGCAAGACAAUAGAGUUGAUAAACUUGGAGAAUCUGGGCGUAACACAAGCUUGGUUUUGCAACAAGGAUUCAAUACUGCAGGCCCUGAUUAGUAUUCCUUUAAAACAUAAACAAAGAAUUAAGAAGUUGAGAUUACUUACGCCACAAUCACAACAGAAGGCCAGAUACUAAACACGGAUGGUGUAUGCAUAAAGAAACUGAACCCACAGUUAAAAAAUAGACAGUAAUUGAAUCAUGUUUAUAAUCACUCACAACAACAUGGUAUUCCUAACCAGGUGUCUGCAAGUGAGAGAAAUCAUGUUGCAAAGAGCCGCAAGCCAUGACGGUUCAUUUAC
rnacentral:lncRNA from 1 species